rnacentral:ncRNA from 2 species
UAAAAAAUACUUCUCCGAGUCAAGAUACCUUUCUGGCGGAUGCCAUGGUAUUAGACCGAUAGGGUAUACCGGGAAACCGGUGUGCCUCCCGUUGCGGAAAGGAGAGGCAGCAGGGCGUUU